rnacentral:rRNA from 1 species
AGAGUUUGAUCCUGGCUCAGAACGAACGCUGGCGGCAUGCCUAACACAUGCAAGUCGAACGAGGGCUUCGGCCCUAGUGGCGCACGGGUGAGUAACGCGUGGGAACCUGCCCUGUGGUACGGAAUAACUCCGGGAAACUGGAGCUAAUACCGUAUGUGUCUUGAGGGACAAAGAUUUAUCGCCAUGGGAUGGGCCCGCGUAGGAUUAGCUUGUUGGUGGGGUAACGGCCUACCAAGGCAACGAUCCUUAGCUGGUCUGAGAGGAUGAUCAGCCACACUGGGACUGAGACACGGCCCAGACUCCUACGGGAGGCAGCAGUGGGGAAUAUUGGACGAUGGGCGCAAGCCUGAUCCAGCAAUGCCGCGUGAGUGAUGAAGGCCUUCGGGUUGUAAAGCUCUUUCGCACGCGACGAUGAUGACGGUAGCGUGAGAAGAAGCCCCGGCUAACUUCGUG